rnacentral:rRNA from 1 species
UACGUAGGGGGCAAGCGUUAUCCGGAUUCAUUGGGCGUAAAGAGCGCGUAGGCGGAUUGUUAAGCGCGAUGUGAAAACUGGGGGCUCAACCCGCAGCUUGCAUCGCGAACUGGCAGUCUUGAGUCUGGUAGAGGAGUGUGGAAUUCCCAGUGUAGCGGUGAAAUGCGCAGAUAUUGGGAGGAACACCAGUGGCGAAGGCGGCACUCUGGGCCACGACUGACGCUGAGGCGCGAAAGCUAGGGGAGCAAACAGG